GGGGGUACGUUAUUGGCCUAUUGGGCGUAAGCGCGCGCAGGUGGUUUCUUAAGUCUGAUGUGAAAGCCCACGGCUCAACCGUGGAGGGUCAUUGGAAACUGGGAGACUUGAGUGCAGAAGAGGAAAGUGGAAUUCCAUGUGUAGCGGUGAAAUGCGUAGAGAUAUGGAGGAACACCAGUGGCGAAGGCGACUUUCUGGUCUGUAACUGACACUGAGGCGCGAAAGCGUGGGGAGCAAACAGGAUUAGAUACCCUGGUAGUCCACGCCGUAAACGAUGAGUGCUAAGUGUUAGAGGGUUUCCGCCCUUUAGUGCUGAAGUUAACGCAUUAAGCACUCCGCCUGGGGAGUACGGCCGCAAGGCUGAAACUCAAAGGAAUUGACGGGGGCCCGCACAAGCGGUGGAGCAUGUGGUUUAAUUCGAAGCAACGCGAAGAACCUUACCAGGUCUUGACAUCCUCUGAAAACCCUAGAGAUAGGGCUUCUCCUUCGGGAGCAGAGUGACAGGUGGUGCAUGGUUGUCGUCAGCUCGUGUCGUGAGAUGUUGGGUUAAGUCCCGCAACGAGCGCAACCCUUGAUCUUAGUUGCCAUCAUUAAGUUGGGCACUCUAAGGUGACUGCCGGUGACAAACCGGAGGAAGGUGGGGAUGACGUCAAAUCAUCAUGCCCCUUAUGACCUGGGCUACACACGUGCUACAAUGGACGGUACAAAGAGCUGCAAGACCGCGAGGUGGAGCUAAUCUCAUAAAACCGUUCUCAGUUCGGAUUGUAGGCUGCAACUCGCCUACAUGAAGCUGGAAUCGCUAGUAAUCGCGGAUCAGCAUGCGCGGGGGGAAAAACCUUUCCCCGGGCCCUUGUACACACCCGCCCCGUCACACCACGAAGAGUUUGUAACACCCCGAAGUCCGGUGGGGGUAACCUUUUUUGGAGCCAGCCCGCCUAAGGUGGGACAGAUGAUUGGGGUGAUCAACAAAAGGCCC
rnacentral:rRNA from 1 species